rnacentral:rRNA from 1 species
AUUGAACGCUGGCGGCAGGCCUAACACAUGCAAGUCGAGCGAGCGGCGGAAGGGUGAGUAAUGUAUGGGGACUGCCCGAAAGAGGGGGAUAACUACUGGAAACGGUAUCUAAUACCGCAUACUAUCGGAUGACCCAUAUGGGAUUAGCUAGUAGGUGAGGUAAUGGCUCACCUAGGCGAAGAUUCCUAGCUGGUCUGAGAGGAUGAUCAGCCACACUGUGCCUGAGACACGGCCCAGACUCCUACGGAGGCAGCAGUGGGGAAUAUUGCACAAUGGGCGCAAGCCUGAUGCAGCCAUGCCGCGUGUAUGAAGAAGGCUCUAGGGUUGUAAAGUACUUUCAGUCGGGAGGCGUUACCGACACAAGAAGCACCGGCUAACUCCGUGCCAGCAGCCGCGGUAAUUC